rnacentral:lncRNA from 1 species
CCCAAGUCAAAAAACCUAAGGGCCUUUGCAGGAAAUCCCUAACCCCAAUUGAGCUCCGAAUAGGGGUUUAAAAAGUGAGUGAGAAAAUAGAACAAGGUGAGUUUAGAGAAUGUGAAAAUCCAGUUAUAAUACCAAAAGUUGAUAACAGUAUGAUUGCUAACUAUCCAUCUAAUUUCCUUAACCAGGAUUUAGGAUUUUAAAAUAGGGAACUUUAACGAAAAGCUUCCGGUAUUGUUCACUUUAACGAAAAAUCACAUUUUUACACCAAAAAGUCAAUCCUGGUACUAUUCACAUUACCCUUUAUUUUAUUAUUUUCAUUAAAACUCAAAGUUUCCAAGCUAUUUUCAUUAGUUUUAUCUUUCAAAUACCUUUGACACAUCCCGACCGAGAUCAAGGCAUGCUAGCCGUCACGUGAAGGAGACGUAGCCAUGUGCACAGUGCGGAAACAAUGAAGAUAGGAAUUAUAUGAAUAAUUAAAAACUGAAACUACUAGAGUGCACUACUAAACAGGAAGUGUUAGGAGUAAGAUACAAAAGUAAACACUCCUAAUGUGCAGUCCAGUAGAACAAGUACUAAUUAUAUAGUACCACAAGAUGUCUUACAAUUAUUUAGAUAUGUCAGUACCGCCGAAGUCCUCGCACCCAACAACUGCAAACUUACCUAAAACCUGCAGGGCCGCAAAAUAGAAAACGUGAGUGGGUAAAAACAAAUGUUUUACAAAACCAUUUCAUUUAUCAACAUAUCUAACCCCUCGCUGUAAAACAUGUAUAAUUUUUCCCAAAAUCAAGAUAUAUGCAUAUACAUAAAUAUAUAUGAAAUUAUACCAAUUCAAAUCAUGCUUUACAUAAUCAUAUUCAUAUGUAUGCCAUGCCAAGAUAUAACAGAGUAAGCAAUUCAGGUAAGAAUAAUUUCAUAGCUCAACAUCAAUCUAGCCGGAGUCACUACAAUGACCUAUACGGCAACAUACUGCACAAGAGUCGGAACCAAAGGAAAAGGUCUGUACGACAAUAAUGGGUGUAAUAUAAUUAUGCUCAAUACUACUCUCACAUAAUAAUUGGGCGAUAAAUCUCUAGUCACCUACGAGUCGGAACCACCUAAGAUUGUCUAUGCGACAAGACUGUGCACCUAAAUUGGAUCCAAUAUGAGCAUAUGGUGCGGGAGGUGACAUAGUAAACAGGCAUGUGCCAUAACUUUGGUUAAAUCAUAAUCACCCUAGGUGCAGUCUUAUGAGCUCAACAUUAUUCAAUCACAUAUCACAUCAUUGACAAUUCACAUAACCAAACAUAACUCACCUGAGCUUACCUGAGCGUCCACAUCACCACAUUUAUAUAUAUAUAAACCAUCAUAAACCAAUUCAUAUACGAAUUAUACUUAUAUGCAUGGCAUUUACAACAUACUUUCAUUUAAACACAUAUUUAUGGGAAAAUAUCAAGUAUAUAAAUAUAUACUGAAAACCAAAAGCCUACUCACUGGUAUGUCGAAGGGUCGUAGCCCCCG